rnacentral:rRNA from 1 species
UACGUAGGGUGCAAGCGUUGUCCGGAAUUAUUGGGCGUAAAGAGCUCGUAGGCGGUCUGUCGCGUCGGCUGUGAAAACCCGGAGCUCAACUCCGGGCCUGCAGUCGAUACGGGCAAACUGGAGUGUUGCAGGGGAGACUGGAAUUCCUGGUGUAGCGGUGAAAUGCGCAGAUAUCAGGAGGAACACCAAUGGCGAAGGCAGGUCUCUGGGCCACAACUGACGCUGAGGAGCGAAAGCGUGGGGAGCGAACAGG